rnacentral:rRNA from 1 species
UGGGGAAUAUUGGACAAUGGCGCAAGCCUGAUCCAGCAAUGCCGCGUGAGUGAUGAAGGCCUUAGGGUUUUAAAGCUCUUUCCACGCGACGAUGAUGACGGUAGCGUGAGAAGAAGCCCCGGCUAACUUCGUGCCAGCAGCCGCGGUAAUACGAAGGGGGCUAGCGUUGUUCGGAAUUACUGGGCGUAAAGGGCGCGUAGGCGGCCUGUUUAGUCAGAAGUGAAAGCCCCGGGCUCAACCUGGGAAUAGCUUUUGAUACUGGCAGGCUUGAGUUCCGGAGAGGAUGGUGGAAUUCCCAGUGUAGAGGUGAAAUUCGUAGAUAUUGGGAAGAACACCGGUGGCGAAGGCGGCCAUCUGGACGGAACACUGACGCUGAGGCGCGAAAGCGUGGGGAGCAAACA